AAAUUGAAGAGUUUGAUCAUGGCUCAGAUUGAACGCUGGCGGCAGGCCUAACACAUGCAAGUCGAGCGGUAGCACAGAGAGCUUGCUCUCGGGUGACGAGCGGCGGACGGGUGAGUAAUGUCUGGGAAACUGCCUGAUGGAGGGGGAUAACUACUGGAAACGGUAGCUAAUACCGCAUAACGUCUG
rnacentral:rRNA from 1 species